rnacentral:lncRNA from 1 species
UUAAAAAAAUAUAUCUUUCUCUUCUAAAAAAAAAAAGGAUAGCCACCUUCUUUCAACUUGAACUCAAAAUCUGAUGGCCUUUUGUCAUCGUUGUUGCUAUUUGCCACCAUCAACAACUGGUUAAUAGUGUCGAUUGGCUUCCAAACUACCUUGAAAUAUUCCUCUGUUAGUUCUCGUCACCAUUUCGGCCUUUAUUUUGCCAAAAAAUAGCCUCAAAUAACCAAGAUUUUAAUCGAAACAUUGAGUUUUUUUCACCCCAAAGUGCCAACCUCUAUCGUUCCAACGGUUUCAACCUUUUACUAUGUUGUUCCUCUCCUCAAAAGCCCCUUACCUUCCAAAGAUUUAGACCCAAAACACCCUAAAUCACCCAAUACAAAAACUUUUUCCUUUUUUUUUUUUAUGGUUCCUCUCUUAGGAUGGAUUUGAUUUUUUUUGCACUGUUUUCCUCGGUUUCCCCUUAAAGGAAUGCGAUUUUUUUUUGGUGAGUUUCAAUUUAGGUAGAAUGGGUGGAUUUGUUUUUUAAUUUUUAAUUUUUUUGGUUAAUGGUUGUAAGGGUCUCAGUGGUGGCUAGUUUGAGAAUUUUGGUUGUUUGCUAGUGGUAGGUUAAUGACGUAAAGGUGGUGGUAGGGUUAUUAGAGGAAUGAGGGUGAUGGAAAGGUUAGCUUGCUCUAUCGAGUCUUUUUUUUUUUUUGGCAAAUUUCUUGACUACCUCUUAAAAUUUUUCAAAAAAAAUCCCUUUAUUUUGUGAUUACAUGGUCCAUUUAAUGAGCUGAUUUGAAAUCAAAUCCCAGAUUUCAAGGAUUCAAACCUUGAUUUUCUAUUGCAAAAUCGAUUAGGUAGUAACAAGCAUUUAAUGUUUAUGUUUUCCACCGAAAAACACUAAUCAGUGCUAUUGAAGAAAUUUGAUUUUGACUUGUUUUUUACUUUUUAUUAUUUCUAUUUUUUCUUAAUAAGAAUAAAAGAUAAAAUAAAAAUAAAAUAAAAUCAAUUAAGCCUUCAUUUGGACUUCAUUAUAAAGAUUUGGGCUUUCAGGCCCAAACCUGGCUUUGAAUUGAAAUUUAGU